GACGUAGGUGGCGAACGUUAUCCGGAAUUAUUGGGCGUAAAGGGUGCGUAGAUGGCCUGAUAAGUUAGCAGUGGGAAAUCGAGGCUCAACCUCGUGGAAGCUGGUAAUACUGUCAGGCUCGAGUGCAGGAGAGGUUAACGGAACUCCAUGUGGAGCGGUAAAAUGUGUAGAUAUAUGGAAGAACACCAAUAACGGCGAAGGCAGUUAACUAUUCUGUUACUGACAUUGAGGCACGGAAAGCGUGGGGAGCAAAACGG
rnacentral:rRNA from 1 species